CAAGCUUGUGGACAUCAGAUGUUGCUAUGAAAGUGGUACAAGGAUUUUCACCUUUGUUGUUAUGCCUAAGAACAUUAUAACGAUGCUUGGCACCAUGAAACUUGGUGAUGAAUCAUUUUCACUCUCAUAUCAUUUCUACUAGAGGACUGGUCAUGAGUUUUUAUUGAAUGGGUGCUGCUAGAUGUAGAAAGCGAUAUUGGAGCAGCAUACAGGAGCAUUUUCAAACCAGAUUUUUUUUUAAAAAGAGAACAUUUAUUUUGAUAUUAAAAGCGAAUAGCGUUGAUAAAUAUAAAUCUCUCUCUAUAUAAAAUUAUUUUACAUUUUUUAUUUAAAAAAAAAACUGUCUUAAAUCUCAGGAUCUUGCAUGUUGUAGUGGCAGCAAAGUGCCUGAUUUUUUGAUUUCCUGUGAAUAUCUUAAAAUAUUUUAUGUACAUAUCAUUACAGAAGACAAUUACAUUUUAUAAAUUAUUCUAAAUGAUAUAAAGUGAAGGUGUUACUUAGGUGAAGAAAUUAUGUAAAUCUAUUCUGAAGCUAUCCCUGAACAAUCGACACAUUUACAAUAGCUAUUGUUCGCUGCUCGUACCAUUGUACACUGUCAAGGCUAAACCUCUGAGCACUCAACUUCCUGUUGUUCUGUUCAUUUCAUGCCUCACCGUUUGGUAAGCAUGGUUUGUCGUGGUCAUCUCCCCGACCAUUCACCCCAUUCAAACUGAGACAACUUGGGGACCAGCAACGCUUCAAUUGUCAGUACUGUACGGAAGAAAAGGACUCGACUGAAUGUGAAAUGCCUUGAUAUUGAUUGAUUUCAAAUGGUGAAUCCUCCAUUGUUUGGCUGCAACCUUUUAACCACCCCGGCUUGUUUGCGGGAUCCUGGCAUAGGCCGAGGUGGACAAUGGUCUCAUGCAGCUGUAAUGUGUGUGACUGCUGGCUAGGGUGAUUGGGGGGCUGUCUAAGGCCUGUGUGCAAAUGAGAAAGCCCCUUAUUAUGCUAAUGGCUCCAGCUGCCCAUCUUUAUCCUGCACUAUCUUUUAAUAUACAAAUGCUAAUGCUGGCCUUUCUAAACAAACUCAGCAAUGUCCUUCAGGGAAUGCAAAGCCUCAUCCCACAAGCUGAUAAGAAGCCAAUGGCUUUUCUCAAGUUAAUUUACCCAGUACUUUGCAUUCUCAGCCAGGGACGCACGGUUCCCUUUGGGCAUAUUCUGGGACAAUUGGAGGUUCAUUUCCCCAAUGAGAGCAAAAUUGUUCAAUUUCGAUUUAUCGUCAAAGCUCGAUAUCUUCUUUUCAGGCAGCUACAGUGAUGUUUGACCUCUAAAUAAGAAAGAAACUCUUAAGCAGUCCAUGACACCUCCAAAAUUAAUUAUAAAACACAUGACAUUCCAUUUGUGUAUCCCCCAUUGUAACAAUCGAUGUUAUUAUAAAUUUCCCCUCUAAAGAAUUAUUUUAGAAAUAUUUAAUUUAUUUGUUUACUGUUUGUUUUAUAUUAAAUAAAGUAUAAUUUAAAA